rnacentral:lncRNA from 1 species
GGUUAAAAAGUUUUAUGCUUACAUUAUCAAAAACAAACAGUACGGGAAAACCUUCAUUGCUGAGAAGAUCCAGAUGCAGCAGCAGAUGGGACGGGCACUGGUGGUGGUGGUGGUGGUGGCGGGGCAGAACCUGAUGAAGUAGAUGCUGGUGGUGGUUGCACGCUUGUUGAAGCUGGUCCACUCACAGGUGGUGGAGGUCUUGAUGGUCCAGAGUGUUGAUAAUGUUGAGGUGGGCCUCGAGGUGGAGGCAUUGCUGAAUGGUAUGGUGGAUACUGUUGAUAAGGUGGCAUUGGUUGCAUGUACCCGUAUGGCGGAUAAUGUUGAUGAGGAUAUUGUCCAG